rnacentral:snRNA from 1 species
AGCUUUGCACAGUGGCAGUAUCGUAGCCAAUGAGAUUUAUCCAAGGCGCGAUUAUUGCUAAAAGAUCCAUCUCACGCUGCUUCCUGCAGCUCAUCAGCUCCUGCGCACAGCACUGCAGCAGCUGGGGCC